ACCUGACUGGCUCAGUCCGAAGAGCAUGGGACUCUUGAUCUCUACGUCGUAAGUUCAAGCCCCACGUUGGGUG
rnacentral:tRNA from 1 species